GGGACCAAAGAUGACAGUGUAUUACAACUAAGGAUUAUGUUUAAUCCAAUUCUGUGUAUCAGAAGUUCAGU
rnacentral:snoRNA from 10 species